UACGUAGGGUGCGAGCGUUGUCCGGAAUUAUUGGGCGUAAAGAGCUUGUAGGCGGUUUGUCGCGUCUGCUGUGAAAAUCCGGGGCUCAACCCCGGACUUGCAGUGGGUACGGGCAGACUAGAGUGUGGUAGGGGAGACUGGAAUUCCUGGUGUAGCGGUGAAAUGCGCAGAUAUCAGGAGGAACACCGGUGGCGAAGGCGGGUCUCUGGGCCGUUACUGACGCUGAGGAGCGAAAGCUAGGGGAGCAAACAGG
rnacentral:rRNA from 1 species